rnacentral:tRNA from 1 species
AGCAAGUAUAAUUUAAUGGUAAAAUCUUAGUUUUCCAAACUAAUUACACGAGUUCAAUUCUCGUUACUUGCUU